rnacentral:tRNA from 1 species
CAAGGAAGGGCAGAAACCAAUAAGUACUGCUAAUACUCACCCCCGCGGUUAAACUCCGCGGCUUCCUUGA